UGCCAGUAAUACCAGCAGGCAAGAACAUCAAAGCACGGCUGCUUCUGUUCAGUGGAUACGAAGUAGAUAAUCUGCUCCCCAAUGGACUCCACUGAAACCCUCCUUGUAUUUCAUUGGAGUUGGUGGUCCUGAUUGGAGGCUUCCGCAGCACUCUCUCCAGAGCAUAUGCGAAGAAAAUGAAGACCCAAGGAACUCAUCAUUGUGUUAUUCCCCACACCACAGGAUUUUUGCACUUUCAAUGUGGUGAAGUUGAACACUAUAAGUGAGAGAUUCAAGAAAGCACAAGAAAGGCAGAAGCAGCAUCUGAAGAAUACAGAGAACUUCACUUAGAAGUCAGAUGGAACUCAGAAUGGAAGAUCUUGAAUCUGAAGUCUCCAACAGGAAAACUUCUUGAGAAGUCUUUCAUUAUAUUGAAUUGGGAAAAUACAAGCACCUCUAUCAAUUAGAAUUGGAAGAUAGAAAAUACUUGUCAAACAAAAUUAAAAAUCUUCACAGAACUACUGAGAGACUAGCAGCAUUCAGUAGCAAUCUUUUUGUGGAGACAGGAGGCCAGAACUUUCUUUACCACUCAUGGACAGUCCUAUAGUCACCUCCUGGUGGCAAUCUUAAUAAUGGUUUAGGUCUUCACAGAGAAUUUACUUCAAAAGAAUACUCAACGUUCUCUCUUUCCUGCCCAUGGACUUCACAUACCAGCAUGAAGAACAACUUGAGUGAGGUGCUGCUGGAUACUCUCCUGUGGAAGAGCUUCUUCUCUAGAUUCACUGAUGAGUCAAAUCUAAGUGAAGACAUUCUUUAGAAAGCAUCAUGGAAAUAUGUGCCAAUUUUUAAAAAAAAUGUAUACAAUGUGAAAGACUUUUAAGUAGAUCUUGCAAAUGAAAGCCAGUUUUAC